UAUCUGCUAUCUCUCUCUCUGACUCAAGAAGAUCAAGUCUAUACAAGGGGAUCGAUGAAGAUUUCACCAGAUCGAUGAAGAUUCCGACUUCUCUCAUUGGCGGUUGUAGAUGUUGGUUGUCUGGUUGAUCUCGGUUUUGACCAUUCGACAAAUCCUGAGAAAACGUUUCCCAAAAGGCUUGGAGUGGAGUCGGGUGUAAGAAGUAGUGGGAACGAAGCUAAACGUAGAGUAGCCAGAUCUUUUUUAAGUUUCCCCCAGAUUCUCCACCUUUUUUUCUCACACACGCUUCAAUGGUGUCCGUACAACAAUUAUCUGCAAUCAAGGGCUCGAAAGUGCUUAUGGUUGGUGCUGGUGGUAUUGUUUGCGAGCUUCUCGAAACCCUAGCCUUUUCAGGUUUUCGGGAUAUUCAUAUUGUAAGUCAACUUUGCGCUAAUGCGAGUUAUAGUUAUUGUUGUUAUCAUUGUUUAUUAUUAAAUCUUCAUUGACUUAUUCUGUUGUUUUGAGUGCGAU